AGCGAACGCUGGCGGCAAGCCUAAUACAUGCAAGUCGAGCGCACCUUCGGGUGAGCGGCGGACGGGUGAGUAACGCGUGGGAAUGUGCCCUUUGGUACGGAACAACUGAGGGAAACUUCAGCUAAUACCGUAUGUGCCCUUCGGGGAAAGGAUUUAUCGCCAUUGGAGCAGCCCACGUUGGAUUAGCUAGUUGGUAGGGUAAAGGCCUACCAAGGCUACGAUCCAUAGCUGGUCG
rnacentral:rRNA from 1 species